rnacentral:lncRNA from 1 species
CACCUCCGGUGGAAGUGCUCUAAGAGAGUUGUCAUAACCACGAAAACUCUUCUUGUCAUGGUAAAAAGUGACCACAAUCCGAAAAUGAAGAUAGUUAACAAAUUAGGGGGAAACUUGAAGAAAAAUAAAGAGAAUUGACUGCAAGUUGUAUUACUAUUGAACUUAAAGUUAAAGACAAAAGUGUGCUUCAAAUAUAUUUUUCUUUAUUGUUCUCUCUAGAGGUUAGGUUUUUAAGUUCUACCCCAAGACCCGAAGUCUUGAAUAAUCAUGAUCUAUUUAAAAGGGAAGGUGUUUAAAUUCUUGAGAAAGAUUGAUCAUAAAACUUGCUGUCAGCUAUCUAAUGCAAACAAGCAUUUUAAACUUUUUGGGCUACGAUUCAAUCUCAUUAAAAACCAAAGGAAAAUUUCAACUUGGAUCAUGUUUUUUCUUGGAAUGACUACCAUUUUGUCAUCAAAACAUUGUCUACAUCUCUUCCCAAUUUUCCUCUUUUUUUUUUUUUCCUCUCUUCUUUUGCUAUUAUGUGACACAUAAUAUAUGAAAAAUAUUCUUUUAUUGAGAUUGUAAAUUAAACUAUUAGUUAAAAUAUAUUUAAAUAUAGUUCAGAUUCAUAAUAUUGGACCACAAAAUCACUGCCAGAGAGAUUACCUACAUAUUAUACCUAACACAAUAUAAAGUAAGAUUUAUUAUAUUUUACCCUGAAAGCCAGAAGCCUAUUCCUAAAUACUGUGUAAACGCGGCAGAAUGUAAGAAAGAAGUCACUUGCGUGGCUAACUGGGAUCUUGAACUUGGCGCAAAUUUUGUGCAGAAGAGUUAGCUGCAGCGGAAAUGAAUCAUCUUCGGAUCCCUUUAUUCUAAUCUACAAAAUCAGAGGAUCUGUACCAUUGAAAUUUGAUCUAAUGGCUACAAACAUGGGUCAACUUUAAAAGUUAUAAUAACUUUAGCCGUUGAAUCAAAUUUCAAUGACACGAAUUUCCUAAUUUGGUGAAUUAAGAGGAAGGGAUC